CCAAGUUGCAUGUUUCAAAUGAAGUUCAAUAAAGAACGUCUAACUCAGAUAACAAGAGGCUCUCAGAGAUUCUUUAUCCACCAGCUGUUAACUUUUAUGUUAAAAUUCUGCUUGGAUAUUUGAUUCUUUCCUUUAAUUCGGAAAAGCACUUAAAGCACUUAGGAAAGCACCAGAUUGAUUUUCAACUUGGGAACCCCCUGUCUGCAGAGCAACUCAGAAAGAGUUUCAGUAACAUUAUAUCACCACAGAACUUCGAGUAGAGUUCCCUGUAAAUUAGGAGUUUAUCCUGAAGAAAAGGUGGACAAAAUCAGGAGGGAAGGUGGAUGGAGUUUGAUGGGAGUGACCUGAUUUGACAGGAGGAUUCAAAGGUGUUGGAACAAUGGCAGAAAGCCAUAAAAGAGACCGUGUGAGCAGUAACAUCUCUGUCAGUAAGACGUGGAGACAUGAGCACAAAACCACCUGUGAGGAGAGGAUUGUUGUACCGUGAGCCCAACCCAGGUCGUCCACCUUCUCUUCAUGAGCUCACUGGCAGUUGUAUAGGCUUUUGUGGCCUUGUCGAAAAGGCCCCAGGAAAUAUCACUGUGAGCCUUGCUUGCAGAGCAGCCUUGCCAGUUCACAAAGACCAAAGCACCAGGCCAGGAAGUCAAGACAGAAGAAGUCAACAUAAACCAGCAGGAAACAAAUCCAGGAGGCUGGGUACGGCCCCUUCUCAAAGGCACCCAUGCAACUCUCAGCUGCUCCGGUGGGCUUUCCUCUAUGUGGAUAGAGAGGCCACAGAGUAAAUGUCUGUUGAAUGAAUCCCUUCUCAGCUUAGCACUCACUCAACAAACACUGUUGAUCAUUCCUUCGGUGAACGUUGUUCUCUCAAGGAGAGAAGAGGCAGUCAUACAAAGACAGAGGGACACAGCUCUGCAUUCAGGGAGAAGACAGACUUUUGAGAAAGGCAGACCAACACUUAAAAUUGACGUGCUGUGCCCUACAGUAGCAGACAUAGUGGGUGUUAGGAAGGGGGACAUGGAGAAGAGAUUAACCGAAGUAAUCCUGGGGUAGUUGGAGAAAGGGGCUUCUCAGGUGGCUCAGUGAGCUACCUGCUGACAUAGGAGCUGUGGACUUGAUCCCUGGGUCAUGAAGAUUCCCCUGGAGGGGGAAAUGGCAACCCACUCCAGUGUUCUUACAGGGGAAGCCCCUGGAUAGAGGGGCCUGGGGGAUUGCAAAAGAGUCAGACAUGACUUAGCGAGAGUAAAGCAACAAAGAAGUUGGAGGAAACUUUGGAAAAUCAUCUUAGACGAAAAUCAUUUUUUUAGCUGUUAUGCUCCAAAUGCCUAUGUGUUUGGUUAAAGUCCCCAGGAGGAAGAGUUGGUGAUUUCUUUUCUACCAAGGGUUCUGGCUGUCAUGUUAGAAGGUGCAGGAGCUCUUGACGGCAACUGGUCGUGGGUGACAGCAGGAGACACCCUAGAUAGCCAUGUUCUUAUUUACUAAAGCAAAGCACAUCCUCCCCCAAGAUGGGUUUUCUGGUGUAUGAGGGUAGAAGUGUGCUGCUGUGCUAAGUCACUUCAGUCAUGUCCAACUCUUUGAGACUGUCUGAACUGUAGCCCAGCAGGCUCUUCUGUCCAUGGGAUUCUCCAGGCAAGAAUAUUCGAGUGGGUUGCCAUUUCCUUCUCCAGGGGAUCUUUCUGAUCCAGUGAUUGAACCCAAGUUUCUUAUAUCUCCUACAUUGGCAGGUGGGUUCUUUACCACUAGCACCACCUGGGAACCCCAGGGGUAGAAGCAAGUAAAUGCAAAAACAGCCUUCUUCAUCACCAACAUGGGAAAACCAAGAAGGAACUGGCUUCCUUCAAGGUUUCCUCCACCCCCUAGCUUUUAGAGAGAAAAGCCAAAGCAGAACUCAUUGUAAAGUAAAGCCUUGUUCCUUGAAGUGUGACUGAAGGGCCAGCAGUACAAGCAUCAGUUGUAAUCUUGUUAGAAAUGCAGAAUCUCAGGCCCCAACCCCAGCCUGCUGCC